GCAGGUGAUGGAGUCUCCAUGCAGGCCAGUGGGCAGUUGGCCAUGGCUAUAGGGUGAAUUUAUGGGAGCCUAACGCAGCGGGUCCCCAGCCCAGAUGAAGUUUCUUGAAGCUGGUGUGAAAUGGAUAAAUAAAAGAGAAACUCUCUGUGCUGGGUCGGUGGGGUCACAGGAGCCCACAGCAAAUUCAGUAUGGUUGUUUCCACAGCAGGAACCAACUGUUGGAACAUGAAGCUCCGAGGAGCUUGGUCGUGCCCUGCUGGAAGCCCUCCUGGCACUGGUGCUGUCCUGGAGUAUGAGGUCCCCACGGCCAUUGGCUGCCUUGAGCUUCCUGCUCCUCUGUUUCCUGCCUUGUGAGGGCUGGUGAUGGCACUGUCCUUGGUGGAUGGGGCAUGCACGUACGUGAUGGCAAAGACGCGUUUUCCAGAGGAGAAAAGACAUAAAGCAGAAGAAGAAAAAAAGGAAAAAAGGAAGAAGCAGA
rnacentral:lncRNA from 1 species